rnacentral:lncRNA from 1 species
UUUUCAAUUUACUUUUUUUAUGGUGGAAAAAGAAGUAUAUAUUUAGAAUUAACCAUCUGGACUCACUUUAGAUGAUGCCAAUCUUGUUGGCAGCAUCUAGAGCAUCAUAAUCAGGAGCCAAGCGAACAUACACCUUCUUCUCUCGGUCAGGCCGUAUCAGGGUAUUGACUUUAGCCACAUCAAUGUCAUAGAGUUUCUCCACAGCCUGUUUGAUCUGGUGUUUGUUGGCCUUGAUAUCCACAAUGAGCACAAGCGUGUUGUCCUCUAUUUUCUUCAUGGCCGACUCGGUGGUCAGUGGGAAUUUGAUGAUAGCAGAGUGGUCAAGCUUGUUUCUCCUGGGUGCACUCUUUCCAGGAUAUUUUGGCUGCCUCCGGAGCUGCAGGGUCUUGGGCCGCCGGAAAGUGGGUGACGUUCGGAUCUUCUUUUUGUGGCUGUGGACACCUUUCAGCACUGCCUUCU